rnacentral:ncRNA from 16 species
GACCUGCCACAACGGCUUCCUGGCGUGGCGAGGGAAACCUUCAAUGGAGCA